rnacentral:rRNA from 1 species
UACGUAGGGUGCGAGCGUUAAUCGGAAUUACUGGGCGUAAAGCGUGCGCAGGCGGUUUUGUAAGCCAGAUGUGAAAGCCCCGGGCUCAACCUGGGAAUGGCAUUUGGGACUGCAAGGCUUGAGUGCGGCAGUGGAGACUGGAAUUCCUGGUGUAGCAGUGAAAUGCGUAGAUAUCAGGAGGAAUACCGAUGGCGAAGGCAGGUCUCUGGGCUGACACUGACGCUCAUGCACGAAAGCGUGGGGAGCAAACAGG